UGAGGCAUGAGAAUCGCUUGAACCCAGGAGGCAGAGGCUGCAGCGAGUCGAGAUCUGGCCAGUGCACUCCAGCCUGGGUGACAGAGCAAGACUCUGUCUCAAA